UUUAAUCUAGUUCCGCUGGCUGUGUUUUGCCAGGAUACUCUUCCUGCCAGACAAAAACAACAGGAGAUUUCCCUUCUUCAGGGCUGAGAGGGCUAGAGAACGCUAGCUCCAAAGGACAAGGGAGCGAUGGCCAUGCCGGCGUCUGGCGACACCUGCUGGGCGAUCCUGGAACUACAGGAGAGCUGGACACCACAGAGGCUGAGGAUCACAGUCCCUUCUGGCUCAUGAGGAAGCUCAUGAGGAAGUUUCCAUUAUUUUCCAAAGUUUUCUAAACAAUUAUAGGAGCAGCUACUCACUAACCAUCUACUAGCAAGACGCCAGCAUCUGUAGAGACCAGCAAGGCCUGGCCCCAGGAAUCUGCGCAUACAGCUUCAUGAGGAAAAUUACUGCAGAAACACUGGGACUCCCAAGGCUACAAGACAAUACAAGCAUUGAAUAAUGAAGCCCAGUAGAUUUUGCUCCAUCCCCUUACCUUUAGUCUGUCUGUGUCUACCUGCCUCAAAUGUGUUUCUUGUAAACAACAUAUCAUAGGAUUCUGGUUUUUAAUCUACUCUGCUAUCUGCUUCCAUUUUAUGGAUGAGAAAACUGAGGCCAAAAGAAGAGAAGUAAAUCACCUAUCUUCCCAUGCUUAGUUUCAGAAUCAUAUGGGAACAUUUGAAAGUCUCCUGACUUCAAGUUUAGCAUUCUUUCCAAUAAACCAUAGAACUCCAAAGUCUCUUCCAAUUUUAAAUCCUAUCUUAUUUUUCAUAGGCUAAAAUCUUUAAAAUAUAAAUUAUCUUAAUUUAUAGUAAACACAAUUAUGAUUUGUUGGUAUAAAAUAAGGAAUAAAACAAGGAGAUAUAAUCUAGCCAAAAGUAUUUGUCGUUGUUAUAGAGGCGAUCUAGCAUGUCAAAAUUAAACAAAGAUUCCCUAUAGGUGAUGAGGAGCUAGAGAUGCUCUUUUUGAAGGUGAUAUUGCGCUAGUUAUCAGGAGUCCUAGAAUACUGCACAACCUCCUGGACAGGAGCCAUAAUCAUUCAAAAGAUUUUAGCUUAACCAUUCACACAGGAAAAGCUAAAUGGAUGAGGAAUGUUUAUGAUCCAGAUUAUGACAUGUGGUGAGUUGGAAAAUAUACAGAACUUGUCCAUCAGUAGAAAUGUCUCAGAUAGACAGUGCAAAUGGAUGAGUUGGGCCCAUAAUUGAAGAAGAGAAGAACAGGCAGAUUGCCUUUGGGAAAUUGUAAGGCUCCUUCAAACUUCCAAACUUCUGCCAGAAACAAUAGUCUUUUUAAUAUCAAUCUUAUAUUGAUUAUUGUAUAUCUGUGAGCCACAGAACACUACAUAUUACUCAAAGAAUUAACACAUAUCACUCAAAGGGUAGUGGAUAGGUAUAUGGUGGUUUGGGCAAGCUACAACACAUAAAAAAUAAUGAUGAAAUGAUUGAGUAAAAGAAACCAUCAAAGAAAUAUAUAAUAAUAAUUUUUAAAAAGAUAGGCUGGUGAUUUGGCAAAAGUGAGGCAUAACUGAUAGCCCAUGUAUUCCACUGCACUGUCCACUUGACAUCAAUAGGUUUCUGUCAUUAGCAGGAAUGUUCAUAUUGAUGUGAUUGCAAAUUUAUUUGAGGACUUCUUAUCACAAAAUACACCAUUACUGCUCUUUCUGAUAGCCUAUGUAGAAUUCUAGGCCACUUACAGCCAUUGAUCAAUUAUAAUUUUAAGAAUUAAGGCAACCAGUCAACUUUUCUAAAACAAAACUUAUUUUCUUGAAUUCCUCUUUCUGAAGUUCUGCUCAACUAACAGUUCUUACAUGAAGGAAGAGAGCCAUGUGUUACCUUGUGCA